UUAAAUAAACAGGUAUAUUCAGGACCAAUGCUUACAGAUAAAAGUGGGAGUAUGACCAACACAGGGUACAGUCAGCUGUGUUCCCAGCUGUCUUGAUCUGUGUUCAGUGAAAAGUGCUGGUGGCCUGGAAACCCUAAUGAACCUUCUUGGUGGUGCUAUAUGGAGCUGCUGUGGUACACCUAGCGCACACCUCACAUUUCCCACAAAGCAGGUGCUAAAUUUUUACUAAUGCCACGUUCUCCCUGCAGAAUUUCAACAUGCAAGUGUUGCAGUUGCAGAAAUUCUCCUGCUAUGACCCCUCUGUCCUCCCAUAAAAUUAUGCCUGAAUGGAACUGAAUGGUAUGAAUUUAGGCAUUUAUACCUAAUGCUGUGGCAACUGGAAUGAGUCAAAAUUAUUAUUAGAAAGGUGACUGGACAGAGAAGAUUGUUUGAGUGACCAAAGUGAAAAAAGCCAAGGAGCAGAACUGCUGUCCCAGUGGAGAACCCUAAGGAGGAAGACUGGAUACCCAUAUUUUGUAGCUGGCACCCUCCCCUUAAGUCUGGGAGUAAGUCACUCUGGCAAAGAAGCAGCAUUUCCAGAGGAUGCUGGGAUUUGUCCUCAAGGAAAAGUGUUUUCUGAUCACACCUAUCUUCUUCCCUGGCUGUAUCUACUCUCUUUUUCUCAUGUGUGUUGACUAAGACUGGCAUCAACAGCUAAGGUCCCGGAAUUUUUUCAAAUGAUUCAGGAGAUCUAAGGUUCACAUGGACAAGAGGGAGGCAGCUCUACCAAACACCUCUACGAAACUUGAUAGAAACUCCUUGGAAAAUAGUAUUGAAGAAUGCUUAUCCACGACAUGAAGACAUAUCAUAUCUGUGGAUCAUCAGGGAAGUUUUCCCAUGACUUCGGAUUUCAAAGCUACAGGUGGUCUGCAAGCAUGGCACUUCAAAGUGUAUUUUGAUUAAAUGAAGCAAUGUUUUCGUAAUAUGGAUCCCAGAUCUUUGAACUUUUUUCAGAUCAAUUCAGCCAACAAAGAUUCAAUUAGUUUCAGCUUUAGCUUAAGAGAUGAUUGCCCUGACGCGAGAUUUUCUAAAAUGACAAGAGGAACAGAUUGAUGUGAUAAAUGCUACAAUGACCUGUACAGCUGCACUCAC